GUGUGUUGUUUGAACCACCAGGUCUCUGGCAUUCUGUUAUAGCAGCCUGAGCUGACUAACGCACGGAGAAGCCAGUCAAGCCCCUCCUCUGUCUUAAACUCACGAGCUGGAGGGAUGGGAGACUCAAUUUUAAACCAAACCUAGAGUUUCAAGCAUUAUAUAAAGCUGGAUAUUUUUCUGACAGGAGUGAGAUGAUAACUUGUUACUUUCAUUCCCAGAGAGUGAACAGAAACUGCAUGGGAUUGUUUCACAUUCCUUCCAGGGACUGGAGAAGAACUGGCCCAGAGCGGAUUUAAGAAGAUGGUCGGGACAGAAGAAAGCUGCUUGAGGAGUCCAUCCCAAGAACUGUUCUCGUUCAACACACCCACGAUAGAUCAGCCUCCAAAAUCAGUACAUCACAGGAGAGAUAAGCCACAUAUCCUUAAGGAGAUGGAAUGACUCCAGGCCCCUUACAAAUGACUGUGUCUGGCUGAGCGGGCCAGUCAGAACUGGACCUGCUCGCCAUGGAAACAAAGACAAAGCAGAGUGGGGGGCAGGCUGAGGGUGGUGACACCUAUGCAAGUUCCACCCAGGGGGUGGUACUCUCCGUCCAACAGCCUGAAGUGUUUCCAUUUCCAUGGCACACUGUCCCUCUGGUGGUGAGAGGGCAUUCACCUCGCGGUAGAGAGAUGCUCCUUAGGAUUGAUUCAUUGCCAAUGUCGUGAUAACAUCCUCACCUUUGGUGAAAAAUAUUUAGUUAUGAAAAUCUGGAUGAUCGUAACCUCAGAGGAGUUCAGAAAGCAUUAGCCACAUAAUUUUGGAGAUCAUUGUGUUGGGAUUAGAACCGUAAAGGCAUUUGGCAUGAGAAAACAGCAGAAAAUAAGACCCUGCACAAGCUUUCGCAGGACUGAUUACGGGCUUGAGCCCACUUAGGAAAGAGAGAAAAAUCCUCCUUAAGGGGAAGUGGGAAGAAAAAUGCGGAACAGAACUAUAAGAAAGAGGUGGAUGCCCACCUGCAGAGCUUCAAGACUAGAAGGAGGAUGCCAGAGCCAGCAUUUCUCCAAGCGGGCAGACCCUGCCGGGGCGGAGCAGAGGGAGCAUUCAACAGACAGCGGCCGCAAACCUGGCGGUUUCCACCUCCAGUCCCGGGGAGCUGUUAGAACCCAAACUAUCAAAAUGGCAACAUUUAAUUGAACAGCUGUUUGCAAAUCACAUGCUUAUUAGCUGCACGCUGAAAAAAAUAAAAAGGCCUACUUGUAUUUCAGUCUACUGACCAUCAAGAGCCCCCGUUAUGGUUAGAAUUCUCUUGAUUGUAAGCAAGAGCACGGUCACCUGCUAACACAGGAGAAAGACCCACACGCUGGCAUGGGGAGGGUGAGGCCCCAGGCAGCUUUGGGCACUAGCUACAUUCUCUCCUCUCUUCUGGGCGACUUUCUUCUUCCCUCUCUCUGCUCAGCUGGUCCAAAAUGGCUUCCUCUGGACAUCCUACCUUCUCUCCCUCACCCCGUCACGUUUACAUGGGCUGCGUCUUCACCCUGGACUGUUUUCUCUCCCCUUCUUAGCCUGGCUGCAUCCUGCCUGUGGCUUCAGUCUUCUCAGGUGCAGCCUUUUCUAGGUAGCUGCCCUCGAUCCCCAAGGCUGGGGUCCCCGAGCCCACCUGUAAGCUCCCGUGUUCGCUGGUGCUAACUAUGCCAUCUUAGGUCUUUCCACUCUGCAGUGUAAUUGCCGGACCACUUCUGCCUCUCUCCCACUGCUCUGUGAGCCCUUUGAAGGCAGGGAUUGUCCCUUGUGCCCCCAGAGCUUUACACCAAGUAUGGAAACAUCUGUGAAUGACGUGCCCUGGGUUGUGUGGUGCCCCCUGACCAGGGGCUCAAUAAACACUUAUUGAAGGGACGAAUGAGUGAAUAAUUGAAUCUAUUGCUCAUACUUCUGGAUUGCACAUAAACUGUUCGCAUUGUCACAGCACCUCGUCUUCCCGCCUUUGUCUUCCCCAUCAUGGCAUGCAUCAGGUUUCUUGGGUCUGGAGUCUAAGUCCAGAGUUUUUAGUGCAAAUCAGUACAGGUCUAGCACUAAGUAAAAUGGUACUGAAACUGAUGGAGAGGGGCUCUGACUCACCUCUUGUCUUGGAUUCCCUGACUGAGAAUUCCAGAAAGAGCACACCUGCAGAGACAUGGCUCCAGAUGAGUGGGCUUGUCCAUGUCCAGGAGACAAAGUCUACUUUGGAUAUCAAAUGACUGAACUGGUUGGUACCCCUCUUGAAAACUUCCAUUCCCCACUGGAGAAAUUCAUAGUGUGUAAAGAGAAUAAUGGCUUGUGAUUUGUAUUUUUUCAUCUUAAGAAUUUUACCUAACGAUGUACACCUGAAAUUUAUACAGUGUUAUAAACCAGUGUUACUGCAAUAAAAAAGUAAAUAAAAUAAAAUUUUAAAAAUAUUCUUAAAAACAAUUGCUCAUGCAUUCUAGAAGCUUUUCUUAACUUUUUUCUUAAG
ensembl:lncRNA